AACGAACGCUGGCGGCAGGCUUAACACAUGCAAGUCGAACGCAUCCUUCGGGGUGAGUGGCAGACGGGUGAGUAACGCGUGGGAACGUGCCCUUCAGUUCGGGAUAACCCAGGGAAACUUGGGCUAAUACCGGAUACGUGCGAGAGCAGAAAGAUUUAUCGCUGAAGGAUCGGCCCGCGUCUGAUCGGCUAGUUGGUGGGGUAAUGGCCCACCAAGGCGACGAUCAGUGGCUGGUCUGAGAGGAUGAUCAGCCACAUUGGGACUGAGACACGGCCCAAACUCCUACGGGAGGCAGCAGUGGGGAAUAUUGGACAAUGGGCGCAAGCCUGAUCCAGCCAUGCCGCGUGAGUGAUGAAGGCCUUAGGGUUGUAAAGCUCUUUCGUCCGGGACGAUAAUGACGGUACCGGAAGAAGAAGCCCCGGCUAACUUCGUGCCAGCAGCCGCGGUAA
rnacentral:rRNA from 1 species